GAUGAAGAACGUAGCGAAAUGCGAUAAGUAAUGUGAAUUGCAGAAUUCAGUGAAUCAUCGAAUCUUUGAACGCAUCUUGCGCUCCUUGGUAUCCCUUGGAGCAUGCCUGUUUGAGUAUCAUGAGCAAAUCUCAAAGUCAAUUCCUUUUGUUGAUUCAAUUGGUUUUGCUUUGGACUUGGAGGCCUUGCAGAUUUCACAGUCUGCUCCUCUUAAAUGCAUUAGCUGGAUCUCAGUAAUUAUGCUUGGUUCCACUCGGCGUGAUAAGUAUCACUCGCUGAGGACACUGUUAAAAAGGUGGCCAGGAAAAUACUGAUUGAACCGCUUCUAACGGUCUAUUAAGUUAGACAAUUACCCUUAAGUUUGAUCUCAAAUCAGGUAGGACUACCCGCUGAACUUAAGCAUAUCAAUAAGCGGAGGA
rnacentral:misc_RNA from 1 species